AACACCAGAUAAUCAAUCUUAUUAAGAAUUAAAAAAAUAAGUAGGGCACUCAAGAAUAAAUGGGUCCAGAUUCAGUGCAUGGACUUGGUGGCAUGUGUUUGCUCAAAAGUCUUUUAUCCUCCUGGCUCUGGGCUUUGGCUAUGUGAAGCCUGGCCAUCCUCAGUGCUCAGCUUUUCUUUGACUCAGCAGAGGAAACACAAGUCUGUCUCUUUGAUUGCCUCGGGGUGCCAUUUUCCACACCCACUUCUCCAGGCCAAAUGAGAGUGAUUUCACCCGUGCCACAGUUAGAGUUUUCAACUGCAGAACGCAGAAGCUUUCUGUUAAAUUCUAGCAGUGUUUUCUUUGAGAGUUUUAGAACAACUGUUUUAUAGCAACUAUUCCAGUUCCACCACCUGAACUCUUUUAUAUACACAUCACUGAGAACUGUUGUGUACGUGCGGACUGUGGGGCUCUUGGCCACACUGAAUGGGCCCACAAGGGAACCCCUGGGACACCCUACAUUCAUUUGGAAAUGGCCAAGAGGACUUAGAAAGAAAAUAAUUGAUCCCGCCGUUUCCAAAGGAUGGGGGUAAAUGCGGUUGUGAAUUCUUAUGGCUUGGAGUUUUUCAAAGCAUUCGUUGGCCUAUCUAGCAGGGACUGAGUGAGAUGGCUGCUUCUGUAGGGGGUCACCCCCUGGUCCUUCUAGCCCGCCCUGUGCACAGGUUGAGGACACUCCUGUGGCUGGAGAAAGCUGGAUCUGAAGGUUGUAGAAACUCGCAGAAAGAAGCCAUCAAAGUGACUUGGAAAGGAGGGCCUGUCACUAAACACACUUAGCAAAUCGAUGAAGAUCUUGUAGCAACACUUCGCCCUCUGAGAUCCAGUUGCAUCCAUCUGUCCCUUUUGUUAUCAUUUCAUCCAGAAACCAACUGUCUGAAGACUCUUGCAUUUUCAAAAAUGGAUAAAAUGGUUAUCCACUAAAAACAAAAUCCAUGACUGAUGGUAAGUUUCUUUCCCUGGUGUAUACAAACCUCAACUGGAGAUUCCUGGCUGGAUGGACAUGGGGGCUGAGGCUGCUGUAGCCCUCUUUUAUUGCUAGUCUGCCUCCCCACCGUGGCUCAGAGUUGUACACCUGUUCCAAGUAGCUGAGGAUUCAUGGGAUGUUUGCAGCAGCUGAACACUCCUCACAAAUGCUCUGGAAGGAAUGCACAUGUCUCAAGAAGUUAUUGAAUCUUUUUUUUUUUUCAUUUUCUAAGGAAUUCUUCUAAAAAGCUCUGGUCCUCUGGCAAGGAAUACAGGUGAAAUUUUACUCCUACAAGAUCAUUGUCAAUUUAAGGCCAGGUUCAAUCUGGCUGGAGUCAGGAAUGACAACAUAAAUGCAUUGCAGCUGUUUUAUUUUUUAGGCUAAUAUUAAGAGGGAAAGAAUCGCACACCAUUCCCAGGUGGAGGGUAUAAGUGGAGAUUUUAAGAAAGAAUUUAUAAUUUUUCUGAUUAUAAUAACAAAGGAGUAUGAUAGAAAAUCUGAAAAAUGAUAAUAAUAAUACUGCAAAAUAUCACAACCCAGAGAUAAAUGUUAGAGUUUUGCCUUUCUUUCCAUUUAAAAAUGUGUCUCCUUUUGGCUUUAUAUAUAAACAAUUGUGUUCAUGUUCUACCUAAGCUAAGUUUUUGCAUACGAUAGCCUGCACAUUUUUUCAUUCUUUAAAAAUUUCCAAAACUUAUUGUAAAAUUUGGUUUUAAAUUUCU
rnacentral:lncRNA from 10 species